GUUCCUACGGGGGGCAGCAGUGGGGAAUAUUGCACAAUGGGGGAAACCCUGAUGCAGCAACGCCGCGUGAGUGAAGAAGGUUUUCGGAUUGUAAAGCUCUGUUAGCAGGGAAGAGGAAGGACGGUACCUGCAGAGGAAGCCACGGCUAACUACGUGCCAGCAGCCGCGGUAAUACGUAGGUGGCAAGCGUUAUCCGGAUUUACUGGGUGUAAAGGGCGUGUAGGCGGGAAAGCAAGUCAGAUGUGAAAACCAUGGGCUCAACCUGUGGCCUGCAUUUGAAAC
rnacentral:rRNA from 1 species